CAAGGUGCAUGGCAGACGGGUGAGUAACGCGUGGGGAACCUACCUCUUUGUGGGGAAUAACGCUCCGAAAGGAGUGGUAAUACCGCAUGAGACCUUGAGCUGGGAUGUUCAAGGUGAAACCUGGGGACCGUAAGGCCUGGGGCAAGGAGAGGGUCCUGCGUCUGAUUAGCUAGUUGGCGGGGUAAUGGCCCACCAAGGCAUCGAUCAGUAGCCGGCCUGAGAGGGUGAUCGGCCACACUGGAACUGAGACACGGUCCAGACUCCUACGGGAGGCAGCAGUGGGGAAUUUUGCGCAAUGGGCGACAGCCUGACGCAGCAACGCCGCGUGGGUGAUGAAGGUCUUCGGACUGUAAAACCCUGUCGUCAGGGACGAAGGUGCACAUGUUAAUAGCGUGUGUGCUUGACGGUACCUGGAGAGGAAGCCCCGGCUAACUCUGUGCCAGCAGCCGCGGUAAUACAGAGGGGGCAAGCGUUAUUCGGAAUUAUUGGGCGUAAAGGGCGCGUAGGCGGUUUUUUAAGUCAGAUGUGUAAUCCCCGAGCUUAACUUGGGAACUGCAUCUGAGACUGGAAGGCUAGAGUACUGGAGAGGGUGGUGGAAUUCCUCGUGUAGCGGUGAAAUGCGUAGAGAUGAGGAGGAACACCAGUGGCGAAGGCGGCCACCUGGACAGUAACUGACGCUGAGGCGCGAAAGUGUGGGUAGCAAACAGGAUUAGAUACCCUGGUAGUCCACGCUGUAAACGAUGAACACUUGGUGUGGAGGGAGUUGACCCCUUCCGUGCCGGAGCUAACG
rnacentral:rRNA from 1 species